rnacentral:rRNA from 1 species
UACGUAGGCAGCAAGCGUUGUUCGGAGUUACUGGGCGUAAAGGGUGCGUAGGUGGCGCGCUAAGUCGGGUGUGAAAUUUCGGAGCUUAACUCCGAAACUGCAUUCGAUACUGGCGUGCUUGAGGACUGGAGAGGAGACUGGAAUUCAUGGUGUAGCAGUGAAAUGCGUAGAGAUCAUGAGGAAGACCAGUGGCGAAGGCGGGUCCCUGGACAGUUCCUGACGCUGAGGCACGAAGGCCAGGGGAGCAAACGGG